ACAGUCAAGAAUCCAUUUCACAGAUGAGGAAAUCAAGGUCUGGAGGAGACAGAGGGAUCCAUCCAAGGUCACACGGGAGGACUGGGGUCAGGUCCCAGGUCCCUUAUUUCUCUGUUCGGGGGCCUCCCACAGCACAGCACUGCCUCUGGGUGGGAAGCUGCCCAUCUGUCUACAUCCAGGACCUGGAUACCUUCUUCUUCUCCCCACUCUCCCAGGCAACCUGGCUGCUCCUGGCCCUUGGCUGGGUCUUCGUCCCUGUGUACAUCGCAGCGGGUGUGGUCACAAUGCCACAGUACCUGAAGAAGCGAUUUGGGGGCCAGAGGAUCCAGGUGUACAUGUCUGUCCUGUCUCUCAUCCUCUACAUCUUCACCAAGAUCUCGACUGACAUCUUCUCUGGAGCCCUCUUCAUCCAGAUGGCAUUGGGCUGGAACCUGUACCUCUCCACAGGGAUCCUGCUGGUGGUGACUGCUGUCUACACCAUUGCAGGGGGCCUCACGGCCGUGAUCUACACAGACGCUCU
rnacentral:sRNA from 1 species